ACAGGAUGAGUGUAUAAAGGCUAGACAGACAAGGGGAUUGUUGUGUUGAACCUGAAAAGUCCCCUCACCUGGCAAUGCUCUCUGUUCCCUGUGAGAAGAAGGGGUUUCUUUUCUUCUGGGAUGAUUCAUCCCUUCACCUGUGGCCUUCCCUAGAGCCCAUCCUUGUGCCAUUCUGCUCUCCAGGCACAUCUCUCUCAGAUGAAUUCCCUCUUCCCUCUUCCUCUGGCCCCUCCUGUUUAUUUAUCUGUUUCCUCACCACUGUGUAAUCAGGUAGGCCCCACUGCUGUGACCUCUGGAAUAAUGAUUGAAUCUGCCCUAUCCUCUCCACAGUGAUGCCUGGGACCCAGCUGAGAUCUCCAUCAUCUCUCAAAACAACUGUGCACUGACCUCCUGACCUAAGCCCAGCCUCUGCCCACUCAGACUGACCUUCACGCAGCUGCACAAUGCUGCAUUUGGAAGCCGGACCUGACCACAUUCGUUUCCCUCUAGAUUCAUGUUCUGGAGAAAUGAAAAUGCUGUCUCAGUGGAAUGUUGAUUAGCUGGAGUGGAGACCCAAGAUCUCUGUCCAGGCAGGGCCAUCAAAACAUAGAAGUGCUCUUGGCUUUCCAAAAUCUGCACAUCUCCAACUUUUCUUUUAGCUAGAGGUGGCCCUGUGAUUGAUGAGUGACCAGCCAUGUGUGGAGAAAAGCAAUGUGAACAACUUCUGACUUCGCUGUUAAAGAAAAUUGGUCUGUCCCCCAUUUCCUUGCAUUCCCAUUCUUACUGGCUGAAAUUCAAAGCUGAUAAAUGGAGCUAGAGCAGAUAGCUGGGAAAAUGAGUUGAGGGUCUUACAUUAAGACUUGCCAGCAAGAAGAAGAAUUUUUCCAGGGUUCCUGACACCGCCAAAUUGUUCGAUCAGCUCUGAACUCUAUACUGAGAUUCUUUAAGUAUGAGAGACAUGAACUUUGACUGGCUUAAGUGAGCUAUUGAGGUCUCUUUGCUAUUGUGACCUAACUCAGGGGUCAGCAAAUAACACUCUGUGCGCAAAAUCUGACUACGAUCUGUUUUUGUAACUAAAUAAAAUUUCACUGAAAC
rnacentral:lncRNA from 10 species